UACAACACAAAAACAAUGAAAAGAGUCGGGCGACCUGAUGCCUGCCUCCUCCUAUGGAAAUCUCCAAGCAACUUCCGCCGCCGCCUCGACGGGGGACCUGAUGCCUGCCUCCUCCUAUGGAAAUCUCCCAGCAACUUCCGCCGCCGCCUCGACGGGCGACCUGAUGCCUGCCUCCUCCUAUGGAAAUCCCCAAGCAACUUCUGCCGCCGCCUCGACGGGCGACCUGAUGCCUGCCUCCUCCUAUGGAAAUCUCCAAGCAACUUCCGCCGCCGCCUCGGCGGGCGACCUGAUGCCUGCCUCCCAAGGCGCGAGGAGAGGGAAAGAGAGACAGCAUUGUUGGAGACUUCCUCUUCCUCUAUGCCACAAGCUACAAGGUAUGGAACUAUCGCGCGCCCUCUCAACCAUUGCUCAAUAGCUGGGUCUACGACCUGGCAUGAGGAGAGGGAAAGAGAGACAACACUGGAGGAGACUUCCUCUUCCUCUACACAAACUACAAGGUUUAAGGUGCCAGAUCUCUUGUCAUUGAAGCUUGACAUAAAUCUCUUGGCUGAUUCAUGUAUUUCGACAUUGUUCCCCACUGGUCUUGUGAUAAAAUAUUUUGUGAGAGUUGACAAUGAUGGAAUUUUCCAUACGUAUCCUGACCGUGGUGGACCGUUUGAGAGCAUAAAGGAAGUUCAGGAAGCCAUUGACUCCCACCAUGCUGUUCAGCGAAAAAACAUAUGCAUGGAUGGACUUACCGACGAGGAGAGGGCUAUCCGAUGUGCUCUUUACUGGUAUCAUAAUGGCACACGGAAGCACUCCAAAGAAGCUUUUGAUUACUGUACGACGGGUCUCCAGGAAUUGGUUAAGGCUGUACUCGACAAAUACAAUGAGGACAAUGGUCUUGUAGGGGAUCUUGCAUAUGAACUAGAAAAUAUUGUGAGCCACAAAUCAUGUUUUGACGGGAAAGAUUGCAUUUAUAGAUCUUACGAUCAUUUCAAUCUCACUAUGAAGACUAAAGGAGCUGCCAACAAGGAUCUGUACUUUGCUGAAGUCACAUGUAUGGACGGCGAUUAUGAAGCAUAUGUGCUCACCUGUAUCUGCAUGGUCAAACCUGAUGACAAUGGUGAAUGCCACGUGUGUGGAGCUGACAUGAAGCACCCUGCUCAUGAUGGAUACAACCGUGGCCGCCCCUUUAUUUCAUAUAGACAUGGUAGACGUCGUGCACGUGGAGUUCCUUUAUUUGAGAAGUUAUUUGCCGUGCGUGAUGAAGCUUGGCUGAAAGAAGAGGAGGCUAGGGUGAGACGUAUGAUCACGGAAGGGAAGGAGGAAAGGCGCAAGUUUCAUACCGGCUAGACGACGGACGACGUAGGGCACCAUUUCUACGACAAGUAAUUCCGAACGGAGGGAGUAGAUGAUAAGGAGAUGAGCGAGAUGAAACUUUACUGAAUAGGGCACCCACAGCUCGCCGUAAGACGCUUGCCGGCGUUAAAAUCUCCACGAGAGGCGGCCUUUCGCUGCAACGGCGACAAGAAGGCUGCUGCUCCAGCGGCCAAGGUGGCGGAAAAGCUCGUGUGUCGCAGUCUGGGGAUCAUCAGGGACGGGAAAGAUGUCACGGUGGACACGUUGGACAAGUUCACAGGCAAGUUCAAGGACCAGCUAAGCGUCGAGGACGCCUUGAUCGACCAUGGUGGCGAGGGUGCCACGGAGCUUGGGGCCGACCAGGACGGGGCCCUGGGCUCGCAGCCGACGGAAGCCUAAGUUGUCAUCUACGUUGUUGGGAGUUCCUAGUUGCUAUGUUAGACCAACUUUCCAUUAGGCCCAGUGUGGUUUCUUUAGUUUUUGCUUUCCUUUGCGUGAGUUGUAUCAGAGGCACCGGAUUGCUUAGUUGGUUGGGUUGUAUGUGGCAGUUUCACCCAUGCCUUGCCGUUCAA